AUUGAACGCUGGCGGCAUGCCUAACACAUGCAAGUCGAACGGGAUCCUAGCUUGCUAGGUGAGAGUGGCGGACGGGUGAGUAACACGUGGGAAUCUGCCUUUUGGUUCGGGAUAACCGCGGGAAACUGCGGCUAAUACCGAAUGCCCUCGAGAGAGGAAAGAUUUAUCGCCAGAAGAGGAGCCCGCGUCCGAUUAGGUAGUUGGUGGGGUAAAGGCCUACCAAGCCGACGAUCGGUAGCUGGUCUGAGAGGAUGAUCAGCCACACUGGGACUGAGAUACGGCCCAGACUCCUACGGGAGGCAGCAGUGGGGAAUAUUGGACAAUGGGGGGCAACCCUGAUCCAGCAAUGCCGCGUGAGUGAUGAAGGCCUUAGGGUUGUAAAGCUCUUUUGCCAGGGAAGAUGAUGACUGUACCUGGAGAAUAAGCCCCGGCUAACUUCGUGCCAGCAGCCGCGGUAAU
rnacentral:rRNA from 1 species